rnacentral:tRNA from 1 species
AGCAAUUUGGCGCAGUGGAAGCGCGCCGGGCUCAUAACCCGGAGGUCGCACGAUCGAAACGUGCA